rnacentral:rRNA from 1 species
AAGGUUUCCGUAGGUGAACCUGCGGAAGGAUCAUUGAAUCUAUCAAUACCAACACCGUGAACUCUAUUUGUUCGGUCCCCCAGAAGCGUGUGGUCGCAAGGCCAGUGGCUUCUGGUGGCUGUGUGUGGGAAGAGCAAUCUGACUGCACACAGGUCUCGGCCGCUGCAUGCUCCUGCAAAGGAGUGUGUUGGCGUGCUGGGUCGGCCACCCUAUCCAAACAACCAACACCAAACAAAACUAUCAAUUCUAUCUGAUAUGCAUCUGGCCUAGCCAAUGCAUCCUAACUGAGACAACUCUCAACAACGGAUAUCUUGGCUCUCGCAACGAUGAAGAACGCAGCGAAAUGCGAUACGUAGUGUGAAUUGCAGAAUUCCGUGAAUCAUCGAAUCUUUGAACGCAUAUUGCGCUCGAGGCUUCGGCCGAGAGCAUGUCUGCCUCAGCGUCGGGUUAAUAUCGCCAACCUAUAUACCGAGUGUAUAUAUACAUGGCGGAUCUGGCUGUUCCAGCUCUGCUGCUAUGGCAUCUGGAUCAGCUGAAGAGCAGAGGUUAACCAAGGACCCGCUAAGGGCCGCAACUGGGUGGGCUGUCAAAGGCUAUAUUCUUAGUUGUUGGUCUGGGACCAUGUGUCGACCCUCAAACAGGAAACUUAACCCUUCAUUUUCUCGACCUGAGCUCAGGCAAGAUUACCCGCUGAACUUAAGCAUAUCA